ACAAACAACAGAAGUUUCCUUAGCCUUUAUAUUUAUUUAUUUUACAAAAAGAGUGAUGAGUUCUUUAAUAUUAUUUUCAUUGAGUUGUUGGUUGUCAUGAUGUUGAUGGGUUGUUGGUUUCCUUUUGGCUCAAGGGAAUUGCGCCUUUUUCUGAUUCCUCUUCAGGCAUGAUCAUCCUUAUCAUCCUCCUCUCCUUUCUCUUUCUGUUUUUGUCUUUUUUGGUGGGCUCUGUUUCUUUUUUUUUGGCUUCUGGAUUUUCUUUCGAAAUUCAGAUUACACCAAUUUGGAUUGGAACAAAUUUUUUUCCUGGCUUCACUUCUUUGUUGGGUUUCGACUGUCAAGGGCUUUAAAUUUCAAAGUUUUUUGUGUUUGAUAAUAAGAUUCUCCUGAGAAUCUUAAAUGGAUUUGAAUUCCAAUUAUAAGCAUCCAAGAUUGUUUGGCAGAAAUUUGAAUUCCGUAACUUGUAAGUGUCUUUCUUUGGUUGUUAUUUUACUGGUGCUUAGGGUGGUAUUGCUUUCUUCAUUCUCUGAUUAUGGUAGGAUCAACCAGAAGGAUAUUGAUUUGAUUCCAAGCCGCUCUCUGUCACUGGACUCUGAUUAUGGAGUUCGUAAAGAUAAGUUCUUAGAGGUUCCUCAAAUUGUUUGGGGGCUGAACAAUCAGAAGAUAGCAUUUGCUAGAGCUUGUCUCACAGCUAGAAUGCUGAACCGAACUCUUUUAAUGCCCAAAUUAAGUGCUUCAUUGUUCUAUAAGGAAAUUGACCGUUUGCAGCCAAUUUCCUUCGAUAAGAUUUUCCAAUUUGAGAGGUUUAAUUCUCUCUGUAAUGGGUUUGUACAGUUGGGCCAAUAUUCAGAUGUUAGAAAUCAUUCUGGAGUAUACGAACUGCAGAAGGGCAGUGGAAGGAGGUGGACUGUAGAGAGAGAUUUGGAUCAACUGAGACAGUUUAUCCAGGACCCAUAUAAUGGACAUGAGGUAAUCCGGAUAGUUGGGAAAAACCCAUUUCUGUGGCAUGAUCAUUGGCCGGUUAAGGACUAUGCAAGGGUGUUUGAGUGCUUAGUUUUGGUUGAAGAAAUAGAGAAAGAAGCAGCUAAAGUCAUCUCAAAGAUUAGAGAAGUGGGAAGAGAAGUGAGAAGUAAUAUUGAAAAUCCUUCAAAUAGUUCUGAUUCAGAUGGUUCUUCAUUGCAAGCAGUGCCGUAUGUAGCGGUUCAUAUGAGGAUAGAGAUAGAUUGGAUGAUCCACUGUAAGAAGUUAGAGCGAAGAUCAAACAUAAGCCAAAUUUGUAGUAGCAAGGAGGAAAUAAUGGAGCGAGUGGGGAACAUUGUGGGUAUGAAAACUCCUUCCGUUGUAUAUCUUGCUGUGGCUGAUAGUCUUCUUGAAGAUCCUUCUAUACUCACCGGUUGGAAGCAUGGUCUGCUUCCUUUUGAGAAGAAAAAAUUGGGCGUAGAUGGAAUCUACAAGAAGUAUCCGUAUCUCAUUCAAUCAGCAAUAGAUUACGAAGUGUGCUUAAGGGCUGAUAUAUUUUUUGGUAAUAGUUUCUCAACAUUUUCAAGUCUCAUAGCUCUUGAGAGAACACAGAAGAUGAUAAGAAUGGGUGUAACAAACACAUGUGGCAUGGAUGUCAGAUGGCCUUCAUAUGCUUAUAACAUAUUAGGGGAAUCAAAUGGCCCUCAGAGAUGGAUGACAAACAUGUCUGAUGCAAGACUUCAGGCAAUCAGCUAUGGUACUAAUACAAUCUAUUGCUGAGGUUAUUAUAAGUAAAUACCUGGAAGGGAAACAAUGUUUCGGAACCCGAUUGAAUUCUUUGGUGAGAUUUGGUUGGUAUAGUUUUCACAGCUUUUCUUUUUGUGUAAAGAAUGUCAAGAUAGCAGAUAACACGAAAUUAGGGAAUGAGAAUUUGGUUUCUCUAAUCUUUCUCUAGACUUGUUGCGGUACUAAAUCGUCAUCGACAGAGAAUCCCAUCAAUGGCUAUAUCUAUUCAGCGAUUUUUCAUGAAUUGUUGUUGCAUAUAUCACGUCCUUAGAUUUCUCGAUUUUUCAAGAAUAUUAUCUAUGUAGUUUGAUGCCGGUGGAUUAUUUAAUUUAUUCAAUCAUCGUCUGUUAGUAAA